AGUCGACUCGAGUCUUCGGACUUGGGUGGCGCACGGGUGAGUAACGCGUAAAGAACUUGCCUCUUAGUCCGGGACAACAUCUGGAAACGGAUGCUAAUACCGGAUAUUAUGGUUUUUUCGCAUGGAGGAAUCAUGAAAGCUAGAUGCGCUAAGAGAGAGCUUUGCGUCCCAUUAGCUCGUUGGUGAGGUAACGGCCCACCAAGGCAAUGAUGGGUAGCCGGCCUGAGAGGGUGAACGGCCACAAGGGGACUGAGACACGGCCCUUACUCCUACGGGAGGCAGCAGUGGGGAAUAUUGGACAAUGGACCACAAGUCUGAUCCAGCAAUUCUGUGUGCACGAUGACGUUUUUCGGAAUGUAAAGUGCUUUCAGUCGGGAAGAAGUCAGUGACGGUACCGACAGAAGAAGCGACGGCUAAAUACGUGCCAGCAGCCGCGGUAAUACGUAUGUCGCAAGCGUUAUCCGGAUUUAUUGGGCGUAAAGCGCGUCUAGGCGGCAAGGAAAGUCUGAUGUGAAAAUGCGGAGCUCAACUCCGUAUGGCGUUGGAAACUGCCUUACUAGAGUACUGGAGAGGUAGGCGGAACUACAAGUGUAGAGGUGAAAUUCGUAGAUAUUUGUAGGAAUGCCGAUGGGGAAGCCAGCCUACUGGACAGAUACUGACGCUAAAGCGCGAAAGCGUGGGUAGCAAACAGGAUUAGAUACCCUGGUAGUCCACG
rnacentral:rRNA from 1 species